rnacentral:lncRNA from 1 species
UACAAAGUACCCACCAAAAUUUUUUUCAAGUGGUAUUAAAAAAAUAAAGAAAGUCAAUCAUGUUUCUCAGAGAAAAUACCUCUGAGGUGGAGAAGGCCAUUAUGUUCUGCUUAACCCCAUGAUGCCUGCAAACUGAAGAUGUGAUGUUUCAAUUAAGCUUCUGGUCUCACUACUGCUUAGAGAUCAUUAGAAGCAGUUGUAGCAACCAGUACUGCCAAAGCAGUUCUUCCCACCCCACCUCAAAGUUGGUCAAAAAACACUGUGGAAAGGAAGUUUGCUAUAAAUGUCACAAGUGCAACAGAAACCUGACUUCCGUUGUUACCUACAGCAGACCCCAGACACUGCCACUCAAAGACGGGAGAACAGAGAGAAAGGGAAAGAUUGAGGAGAGAUUAAUGUGAGGGAUUUCCUCUUUUGUUUAUUUCUCUUUUGUGAAGUAGGUGGAGAUGUAGCCUCUUUGAGGGCUAAUGGGAAGAAAUUAAAAUACAAAAGAAAGUCGAUGGGUGUCUGUGCAAGCUCUUGCAGGAAGCAGGGAAUAACAGAACAAGGGCAUGGCAGAAAGUACGCUCUUGACAGUGGGUUCAGAUGCUGCUUCUUCCCACUCUGAGAAUCAGUGAACCAGUCCACUUUUAACUCAGUAUUCCAGAGGCCAAACUACUUAUAAAGUCACAGCUGUCUCUUUGGGAUUUGGCAGUGAUACCAUGGCCCGGUCAUAUGGCACAAAGUUUCUACAGCACCUUUACUCAACUUCUGCCCCCUUGGGGCACAGCCCUCUGGGAACACACAUCUGUCUCCUGUAGGACUGUGAGCCCCUGAAGAGCAAGAACCAGAUCUUUCCAGGGUUAUAGUUCUUCUGUAGCUAGUAAAGGAACC